CAGUAGCCGCGGUAAUACGAAGGGUGCAAGCGCUAAUCGGAAUUACUGGGCGUAAAGCGUGCGUAGGCGGUGAGUUAAGUCUGCUGUGAAAUCCCCGGGCUCAACCUGGGAAUGGCAGUGGAUACUGGCUCGCUAGAGUGUGUCAGAGGAUGGUGGAAUUCCCGGUGUAGCGGUGAAAUGCGUAGAGAUCGGGAGGAACAUCAGUGGCGAAGGCGGCCAUCUGGGACAACACUGACGCUGAGGCACGAAAGCGUGGGGAGCAAACAGGAUUAGAUACCCGCGUAGUCCCUGUCUCUUAUAC
rnacentral:rRNA from 1 species